UGAGUCGGGAAUCAUUCAAAAUUUUAUGUAAUGAGCUAACAAACAUUGGCAAACGUGAUACUACAUACAGGCAAUGUAUUCCAUUAGAAAAAAGAAUAGCUAUCGCUUUGUAUGCCCUUGGUUCUUCUGCUGAGUACAGAACAGUUGGAAGACUAUUCGGGGUUUCCAAAGCGUGUGUAUGUUUUAUCCUUAAAGACUUUUGCAGAGCGGUGUGGAACAUACUAUCGCCUAAAUAUUUAGCCAGCUCAUUUCUUACGCAAAAAAAAAUUACGGAGUGCGUUGAAGGAUUUAGAAAAAUUGGAUUUCCCCAAUGUCUAGGCGCAGUAGAUGGAUGUCAUAUUGAGAUUAGGCCCUCCGCGUCUGAUGCUGUUGACUAUUUCAACUACAAAGGUUGAUACUCAAUUGUUUUACUAGCCCUCGUAGACUACAGAUAUAGGUUUAUGUACAUUAAUGUUGGAGCACCUAGUCGUUGUAAUGAUUCCCAAAUAUUUGAAAAAUCCGACUUGAAAAGAAUUUUGCAAAACUCUUUGCUUACGGAGAAAGCGAAAAAACUUUGUGACAAUAAUGUCCCAAUUGUAGUUCUUGGAGACUCGGCGUUUCGCUUUACUCCGUUUUUAAUGAAGCCCUACCCCUAUAACCAAUCCGCUGAGGGUCACGAGAAUAUUUUCAAUUACCACUUAUCUAAAUCUCGAAGGGUUGUUAGGGAAAGGAAUUGACAACGAUAUUAAAAACGCUAUAUUAAUAAUAAAAUGUUCUUGCGUCUUGCACAAUUUUGUAAAUGAAAUGAAUGAUAGCAUAAACACGAAAUGAUUGCAAAUGCAAACAAAUUUCGAAAGCGCACACCCACGAAAGCAACCUGAUCCAUUAUUCAUUUCUGGAACCGUCGACCCUAAUGCUGAGAACAUCAGAAAAUCUAUAGCUCUAUUUUUAUGUUCCUCGUCAACAAACGGCAAUUCUUCCUGGGAAUCCAGCGUAAGGGGUGAUGCACAG